UCUUCGGGUCUUCCUUUGUUUCCUCACCCUCCAUACGACUCUUUUUCCAAGUAAUCACGGUACACAGUGGGUGGACACUCUCGCAGGAGUCGCAACACACGCACAACACGGUCAUCACCACCACCGCCGCCGAAAUGGCGACAAUGUCUACAACCGCACCGCCAGCAGUGGCACACCCACCAGGCGUAAUAAACCUCGACUCCGUCGGUCACAUCGACAUGUCCACACUCUCCCAGUCGGAGCUCCAAGCCCUCUCCCUCUGCUCCCCCUCCGUCUUCGAUCUCCGCCAACCCUCCCACCUCCUCGCCCCCAAAAUCGACCGCUCCCUCUUCAACGAAUCCGCUGGCUCUCGCCGCCAGACCUACUCCCGCCCCUCCAAUUCCACCCCCUCCGCCGGCCACCGCCGCCGCGUCGCUGGCCUCCUCCCCACCCCCAAGCUCCCUCCUGUCCCCUCCGACGACCCUGAACGCGUAGAGAACCGCCUCAUCAUCGACCACCUCAAGCAUUUCAUCGACCAAGACCCCCGGUUCGACCACUUCGACCUAACCCUACCCUCAUUGUCGUCCCUCUUCGUUGACACGAAUCGCGAGGAGGCGGAGCGAGAUAACACGGUGAGUUUUGUUGGGGAGAGGAAGAGGAAGAGAGGGAGGAAGCCGAGAGUGAAGGUUCUGCAUUUGGAGGAGGGGAGGGGUGUAAUGGAGAUUGUGAAUAGGGACGGUGUGGCGGUGGAUCUUACGGCGUUGGCGAAUGCGGAGGACCCGUAUGGGGAGGAAUUGAGGAGGAGGACUGUGGGGAUGGAGAGUGAAGAGGAGUUGCUGGGGUUUAUGAGGGAAUUGGGUGGGCAGUGGGGGAGUAGGAGGAAGAAGAGGAAAAUUGUGGAUGCAGGCGUGUUCGGAGAUACCUUGCCGGUCGGAUGGAAGCUCUUGUUGGGGAUCAAGAGGAGGGAUGGCCGUGCCUCCAUUUACUGCCGCAGAUAUAUAAGCCCUACUGGACUACAGUUUAUAUCCUGCAAGGAAGCUGCUUCAUAUUUGCUGUCCUUUUUCGGUCUUAGUGAUGCACAGUGUCCCAAUAAUCAGAAGGGUGAAAACAUUCAGCAGGACUACAGACAGAGUUCUGAAAAUCUUGCAGGCUUUACCCCAAAGUACAGCAGCAGGCAAGAAGUCAUUUCGAGUUCAACUCCAUCUACAAUUCCUAUAUCUAGUGAACAGGUGAAGGAAACAACCUUGUUGGGAAUGGAAAAUCUUGAAGAUGUUCAAAUACAUGAUCUAUUUGAAUGUCACAAGUGCAGCAUGACGUUUGAUGAGAAGGAUUCAUAUCUGCAGCACCUCUUAUCCUAUCACCAGAGGACUACAAGGAGGUAUAGACUGGGUUCUUCUGUUGGGGAUGGAGUAAUAAUUAAAGAUGGAAAGUAUGAAUGCCAGUUCUGCCAUAAGAUAUUUCUAGAGAGGCGUCGCUACAAUGGUCACGUGGGGAUACACGUGAGGAACUAUGUGAGGAGGGUUGAAGAAUUGCCUGGUCCAACAACUCUUGAAAAGAGAAUCGAGUCUCCAACCGGGGAUGAUGUACCAUUAAGGAUAUCUAAAAUGGAUGCUUUGAUUGAAAUUGCUCAGAAUUCUAUUUUAGAGAGUUCUACUCUUAGAACUAAUGAUGAACCCAAUGGUGAUUCCACUCCUGAUCGACUGAACGUUCCUUCUACUCAAGAAAUUCCUGCUGCCAAUUCUGAUCUUGAUAUGAAUCUUGAUUCUCCCCUUAGUGGACAGGAAAUGGAUGAUGGCAUGACUGACAUAACUCUCUAUCAAGAUUUAAGUCAGCAAGAUGGUGAGCACUUGAUCGCUGAUGAAAAUGUGGAGAAUACCGAUGAUUCUAAUGAAGUGGUAGAUUCUAAGAGAGAUUCUUGUUUGGAUUCCACAACUGUCCUGCCUGCUAAUGAGCAAAAUGGUACAUCUGAAACAUUUUGUGAAAAAGUUGGUUUGACAUUUGUCGAUGAUAAAGGAAAUUCUGGGGUUCAGCAAGAGGAAGUUUCUGAAGGUCAUUUACUUGCUCAAUUUGGCAACAAGAUGGUGUGUGAUGUUAGGGAUGAUAUAAAUUUGGUUUGUGCUAGCACUUUAGAGCAUCCCAAGCUUGGUGAAGUUAAUGAUAAUAGUGAGCUAAAAGUUGGCUUUAGUCACAGCAGUGAUGGGCCAGUCAAGAAUAUUGUGACAGAAACUGAACAGAAAACUUCUGAAGAAAAUUUACUCCAGUGUGGGGUUUCUGACUCUUUAAUCUCCACAGAGCAACCUUUGCAAUAUUUCCCCACAUUCAGCGCAACCUCAGAUAAGGCAGAGGAACAGUUAUGCAUUGUUGACCAAAGGCAUGACAAUGUAACCGGGUUUGAGGAACUGAGGUUGGAUGAAAUAGAACCUCUUAAGUAUAGUUCUGCGACUGCACAAGAAUCUCUUUCCAUUCAAGAUGUACCCAUGGAUUUGACAUACAAUGUAGAGAUGGAAGGGGCAUAUGGUUCCUCCGUCCAGUUUGAGUCAGAAGAAGUCAUGUUAAAUAUGGGUGGCAGAAGUCAGCUUACAACUGUUUGUGUAUGGUGUGGAGUAGAGUUCAACCAUGAGGCUGUUGAUGCUCAAAUACAGCCAGAUUCUGUUGGUUUUAUGUGUCCAACCUGCAAGGCAAAAAUCUCUGGGCAACUUAAUGUACUAGACAGUGGUUUACCGUUGAAUUCUCAUCGCCCCUGACAAAUUGGACAGAAUUGGUCAAGAAAUGCGUGUAUCUCCAACAAAACAAAGAAAUACAGAGAUAAUGGUUUACCAACCUCUAAAUCAAAAGUUGAUGUAGGAGAAGUGAAGAUAGACAAAUUUUAUGGUUUGGAGGCCAAGUUUAUAGCCUGUGGUCUGAGUUAUGUCUUCCAAUGAUGAGGUUACAACUUACAACUGUGUAAUGUGCACGUGGAGGAACGAGAGCUCCAAGUUAGAUAUCAUGAGGUUCUUCUAGCAUUAUUCAUGAUAGUUGUAAUGGAUACUUAUUUUGUGGCUCAAGUGGGAUUUUCUGGAGGUGUCAUUUAGUGGAACUUGAGCUUUGCUAAAGCGGCUCAUGAUUGAGAGAUGGAUGUUUUUGUCUCGUUCUUCAGGGUGUUCUAUUUAGUCAGAAUGAGACGGGAAGACGAGGGCAAGCUGUGGUGCGUCCAAUCCGAAAGAGGGUUGUUUGGUUUUAAAUCCUUUUCCAGUGUCAUGGGUUGAAAUGAUGAUUUUUGUUUCCCUUAGAAGAGUGUUUGGUGGAUACAGGUCCCCGUUGGGAGUGGCCUUUUUCGUUUGGUCGACAGCUCUAGGAAAGAUUCUUACCAUGGACAAUUUCUGGAAGUAGCGCAUCAUUUUAGUUGGUAUUUGUUGUAUGUGCAAAAGGAAUAGGGAGUCUAUGGAUCAUCUUCUUCUUCAUUGUGAGGUUGCUUUUGCUAUUUAAAUAUUUUUUUUCCCAGUUGAUUUAGGUUGUCUUGGGUUAUGCUUAGACAAGUAGUUGACUCGUAUGCUUGUUGCUGGAUUGUUGAUAGCACUCGGACUGCUGCUGUGUGAGAGAUGGUGCAUUCAAACCUUUUUUGGUGUCUAUAGAGGGAAAAGAAUGAUAAAAGUUUUGGGACCGUGAAAAGAUUUUAGAAGAGAUUAAGUACUUAUUUUUCGAUACCCUAUAUCUUUGGACAGUUGUUUUUGUUUCUCAUUUGGUGAUUAGUUAUCAUUUUUUUGCUUUGUUUUGUUUU